UGCCAGCCGCCGCGGUAAUACGGGGGGGGCAAGCGUUGUUCGGAAUUACUGGGCGUAAAGGGCUCGUAGGCGGCCAACUAAGUCGGAUGUGAAAUCCCCAGGCUCAACUUGGGAACUGCGUCCGAUACUGGAUGGCUUGAGUUUGGGAGAGGGAUGCGGAAUUCCAGGUGUAGCGGUGAAAUGCGUAGAUAUCUGGAGGAACACCGGUGGCGAAGGCGGCAUCCUGGACCAAUACUGACGCUGAGGAGCGAAAGCCAGGGGAGCAAACGGGAUUAGAUA
rnacentral:rRNA from 1 species